UACGGACGGUGCGAGCGUUGUCCGGAAUCACUGGGCGUAAAGGGCGCGUAGGCGGCAGGCCAAGCGUGCGGUGAAAGUCCGGGGCUCAACCCCGGAUCUGCCGUGCGGACUGGUUUGCUAGAGCACUGUAGAGGCGAGUGGAAUUCCGGGUGUAGCGGUGGAAUGCGUAGAGAUCCGGAAGAACACCGGUGGCGAAGGCGGCUCGCUGGGCAGUGGCUGACGCUGAGGCGCGACAGCGUGGGGAGCAAACAGG
rnacentral:rRNA from 1 species